GCUUAAUCAGCUUGCAGCGUGGUCACACAGCUGGAAUAUGUGAGAGGCAAACCUUGAACCCAGGUCCUGCCUGCAAAGAAUCAGCACAAGGUGCGUGCUUAAUAAACGUUUGCUGAGUUUAUUAAAUUGAAGGAGAAACAUCGUGAGGGAUGGGGCAUAACUGAUACUGUCAUAAGGGAUCUCGAAAGCAUUGCUUAAGAUUACAAAAUCUUAGAUGCAGAUUUCCGAGUCAUCUGGAUCUUUAUAGUCUUGGAACUUUGACUGCAGCACUUAGAAAUUGGAGCAAGUAUAUGUAGAAAAGAUCUGAGGC